rnacentral:lncRNA from 1 species
AAUACUAGAAAUCUUUGUGAUAGUCUUAAAAUAUAUUUUCAUAUCUAAUUAUAAAAUUUAAAGCAUAAAAAAUAAUGUAGAUUGAGCUGUUCUAUGAAAACUUGAAAAUCUUGAAAAUUGACGGUCCAAAAAUACAAUACUAGAUACACUAUUUCAAAAACUUGAAAUCUAUUUUUUUCUCAUAUCCAUGUAUCUUAACGUCGAGAUGAUAAAUUUGAGGAUGUUUGGGCUUCAAAACAUCAUCUUCUAGUCGAAUUAAGGUGCACUUUAAUUUGAUUUUUUAGACCCUCGAAAAACUUUUUCCUUAAAAGAAAGAGGUUUAUUUUGGGCAGGCACGUGAGUUGGAUUUGUCAAAAGGUAAGGUGGUAAGUUUUCU